CAGUCGCCACGGUAAAACGGAGGGUGCAAGCGUUAUCCGGAUUUAUUGGGUUUAAAGGGUCCGUAGGCGGAUCUGUAAGUCAGUGGUGAAAUCUCACAGCUUAACUGUGAAACUGCCAUUGAUACUGCAGGUCUUGAGUAAAUUUGAAGUGGCUGGAAUAAGUAGUGUAGCGGUGAAAUGCAUAGAUAUUACUUAGAACACCAAUUGCGAAGGCAGGUCACUAAGAUUUAACUGACGCUGAUGGACGAAAGCGUGGGGAGCGAACAGGAUUAGAUACCCCCGUAGUCCCUGUCUCUUAUAC
rnacentral:rRNA from 1 species